AUAAGUGAAUAGUGAAAUCUGGCGGCUCAACCGUACAGGCUAUUAUUCAAACUGUAUAACUCGAGAAUGGUAGAGGUAACUGGAAUUUCUUGUGUAGGAGUGAAAUCCGUAGAUAUAAGAAGGAACACCAAUGGCGUAGGCAGUCUACUGGCUCAUUUUCUGACACUAAGGCACGAAAGCGUGGGGAGCGAACGGGAUUAGAUACCCCGGUAGUCCACGCCGUAAACGAUGGAUGCUA
rnacentral:rRNA from 1 species